GGGGCGCAGCCUGAUGCAGCAACGCCGCGUGCGGGAAGACAGCCCUAGGGUUGUAAACCGCUUUCAGUAGGGAAGAAAAUGACGGUACCUACAGAAGAAGGUGCGGCCAACUACGUGCCAGCAGCCGCGGUGACACGUAGGCACCAAGCGUUAUCCGGAUUUAUUGGGCGUAAAGAGCUCGUAGGCGGUUUGGUAAGUCGGGUGUGAAAACUCAGGGCUUAACCCUGAGACGCCACCCGAUACUGCCAUGACUUGAGUACGGUAGGGGAGCGGGGAACUCCUGGUGUAGCGGUGAAAUGCGCAGAUAUCAGGAAGAACACCGGUGGCGAAGGCGCCGCUCUGGGCCGUAACUGACGCUGAGGAGCGAAAGCGUGGGUAGCAAACAGGAUUAGAUACCCUGGUAGUCCACGCCGUAAACGUUGGGCACUAGGUGUGGGUCUCAACUAACGAGAUCCGCGCCGUAGCUAACGCAUUAAGUGCCCCGCCUGGGGAGUACGGUCGCAAGACUAAAACUCAAGGAAUUUAA
rnacentral:rRNA from 1 species